rnacentral:rRNA from 1 species
UACGUAGGGGCCGAGCGUUGUCCGGAGUUAUUGGGCGUAAAGCGCGCGCAGGCGGCCUCGCGCGCCCGACGUGAAAGCCCCCGGCUUAACCGGGGAGGGUCGUUGGGGACGGCGGGGCUUGAGGGCGGGAGAGGUCGGUGGAAUUCCCGGUGUAGUGGUGAAAUGCGUAGAGAUCGGGAGGAACACCUGUGGCGAAGGCGGCCGACUGGGCCGACCCUGACGCUGGGGCGCGAAGGCGUGGGGAGCGAACGGG